CCUACGGGAGGCAGCAGUGGGGAAUAUUGGGCAAUGGACGCGAGUCUGACCCAGCAACGCCGCGUGAAGGAAGAAGGCUUUCUGGUUGUAAACUUCUUUUAAUGGGGCAGAACAGCGUCCGAUACCCCUUGCCUCGUCCGCAGCUCACUACUUGCCAUCGGCCGCGGUCAUGCGUAGGUGGCCAGCGUUGUCCGGAGUUCCUGGGUUUAAAGGGCGUGCAGCCGGAGAGACAAGUCAGAUGUGAAAUCCACGGGCUCAACCCGUGAACUGCAGUUGAAACUGUUGCCCUUGAGUGUCGGAGAGGUAAGCGGAAUUCCUGGUGUAGCGGUGAAAUGCGUAGAUAUAAGGAAGAACACCAGUGGCGAAGGCGGAGUACUGGACGAUAACUGACGGUGAGGCGCGAAAGCGUGGGGAGCAAACAGGAUUAGAUACCCUAGUAGUC
rnacentral:rRNA from 1 species